rnacentral:SRP_RNA from 1 species
GCCGGGCGCGGUGGCAUGUGCCUGUAGUCCCAGCUACUCAGGAAGUGGAGGUGGGAGGAUCGCUUGAGUCCAGGAGUUCUGGGCUGUAGUGUGCUAUGCCGAUGGGGUGUCUGCACUAAGUUCAGCAUCAAUGUGGUAACCUGGGAGUGGGGGACCACCAGGUUGCCUAAGGAGGGGUGAAACUUAGUAGGUCAAAACUCCCGUGCUGCUCAGUAGUGGGAUCCCACCUGUGAAUAGCCACUGCACUCCAGACUGGGCAACAAAGUGAGACCCCAUCUCA